UAUACUUGUGUCUGGAAGUAACCAGCAAGUUAGCCAGUUAGCUUCAGUGCUUGACUGCGGUUGUGAGGUCAAAACGCUCGGAUCAACUUUACUCAUCCAUUGUACCCCCCGAGAGCGCAACGCUCUGAAUUUACGAAAGGACAAUCUGACAACUCUGAAUUUACGAACGCGCACUCUGGCACUCCAGAUUGAAGUUACGAACCCACCCCAAGAGAGAGAAACUCGUCGCUGUAUUUGCGUUUCAUGAUGAUUGAGCUCAGUCAAAAUUUGUGGCUAGCUUGACUCUAUUUGAUGGCAGUGAGUGAUGGCGAGUAGGAAUGACAAGUCAUUGGCGGACAGCACAUCAUCUGCUGCUGAACGACAGCGCUGCAGCGUGUGGGUCUUGGAGAGAUCUUCAAGAAAACUGCAGAAAAAAUAUCUGGGCAAAGAUGGAAGAGAGUUUUGAGAUGUUUGAGGAGGAGUUAGGCAGGCCAGAGCCUCCCCCUCAAAAGCCCGCAGACCAGUUCCAGAAAUGUAUGCUAAGGAAAGAAGAAUAACCCUACAGGAACAGACCAUGCCUUCUCAACAGGAACCUCCAAUCUUGCAGCAGCAAGUCCCCAAGAUAAUGCCCAGAGAACCCAGUGUCCCCGGCAGAAGCAGUGACCCACCUCUCUCUCUCCUCUGUCUCUCUCUGUCCUUCAUCUCUAUCUAUAUCCCUCGUUCUCUGUCUCUCUCUCGCUCUUUCUGUCUCUCUCCCACAAUAACAUGACAAAGUCACCUGAUUUAUCAUACAUGAGUAAAAGUAAAGAUACCUUUAUAGAAAGUUACUCAAGUAAAAGUGAAAGUUAUGCAGUAAAAUACUACUUGAGUAAAAGUCUAAAAGUAUUUGGUUCUAAAUAUACAGGCGGGGUCCUGAAGAUAGAACAUAUCUAUUUUCAUAUUGAUUUGUCCGUGACAUUUGACUUUGCACACAAGGUCAGAACAGCAUAUGACUGCAUGACAACUCAUGUAUGAAGAACUUUAUGUAGAUUCAACAAUAAAUUUGCAAACAAUA